UAUGUAGGGGGCGAGCGUUGCCCGGAAUCAUUGGGCGUAAAGGGCGCGCAGGCGGCCUGAUUAGUCGUGGGUGAAAUCGUUCGGCUCAACCGAGCGGGGGCCUGCGAAACGGUCGGGCUGGAGCAAGGCAGGGGGUCGUGGAAUUCCCGGUGUAGUGGUGGAAUGCGUAGAGACCGGGAGGAACACCAGUGGCGAAGGCGGCGACCUGGGCCUGUGCUGACGCUGAGGCGCGAAAGCGUGGGGAGCAAACGGG
rnacentral:rRNA from 1 species